CACACCGUAAACGUUGGGCGCUAGGUGUGGGAUCCAUUCCACGGGUUCCGUGCCGUAGCUAACGCAUUAAGCGCCCCGCCUGGGGAGUACGGCCGCAAGGCUAAAACUCAAAGGAAUUGACGGGGGCCCGCACAAGCGGCGGAGCAUGCGGAUUAAUUCGAUGCAACGCGAAGAACCUUACCUGGGUUUGACAUACAUCCUGCCGCUCCAGAGAUGGGGCUUCUUUUGGGGGUGUACAGGUGG
rnacentral:rRNA from 1 species